GAGCUACCGUGCCCGAGAGGUUACGGUUUUCGCCUUGUAAGCGGACGGUGAUAGGUUCGAUUCCUGUCUGGCUCG
rnacentral:tRNA from 1 species